AGAGUUUGAUUCUGGCUCAGAAUGGACGCUGGCAGCGUGGAUUAGGCAUGCAAGUCGAACGAGAAGCUGUUGAACAAUCUUUCGAGAGAGUGAUUCAGUGGAAAGUGGCGAAAGGGUGAGUAACGCGUAGGUAAUCUAUCUCUAAGUGUGGAAUAACUCGUCGAAAGAUGGGCUAAUACCACAUGUGGUCUUCCAACGCAUGUUGGAAAUACUAAAGGUGGGAUCUUCGGAUCCUGUCGCUUAGUGAGGAACCCGCGUCUGAUUAGUUUGUUGGUGAGGUAACGGCUCACCAAGACCGUGAUCAGUAGCUGGUCUGAGAGGAUGGUCAGCCACACUGGGACUGAGACACUGCCCAGACUCCUACGGGAGGCUGCAGUCGAGAAUCAUUUGCAAUGCGCGAAAGCGUGACAAUGCGACGCUGCGUGGAGGAUGAAGGCUCUAGGGUUGUAAACUCCUGUCAUGCGGGAAAAAUAGCUCCGAGAAGAUAACGCUCGGAGUUUGAUGGUACCGCAAGAGGAAGCCACGGCUAACUUCGUGCCAGCAGCCGCGGUAAUACGAAGGUGGCUAGCGUUGUUCGGAUUUACUGGGCGUAAAGGGUGCGUAGGUGGUAGCGUGUGUCGGAUGUGAAAUCCUGGGGCUCAACCCCAGAACUGCAUCCGAAACUGCGUAACUAGAGACUAGGAGAGGAGAGCGGAAUUAAGGGUGUAGCGGUGAAAUGCGUUGAUAUCCUGAAGAACACCGGUUGCGAAGGCGGCUCUCUGGAAUGGAUCUGACACUGAGGCACGAAAGCGUGGGUAGCGAACAGGAUUAGAUACCCUGGUAGUCCACGCCGUAAACGGUGCGCACUUGGUGUGGGAGGUAUUGACCCCUCCCGUGCCGUAGCUAACGCGUUAAGUGCGCCGCCUGGGGAGUACGGCCGCAAGGCUAAAACUCAAAGAAAUAGACGGGGGCCCGCACAAGCGGAGGAGCAUGUGGCUUAAUUCGAUGCAACGCGAAGAACCUUACCAGGGCUUGACAUCUAGCUGCACGCCCCGGGAAACCGGGGAAGCUUUUGAAGGUGCUAGACAGGUGCUGCAUGGCUGUCGUCAGUUCGUGCCGUGAGGUGUUUGGUUAAGUCCAGCAACGAACGCAACCCUUAUGUUUAGUUGCCACCGGCGGUGAUGGGCCGUCGAGCACUCUAGACAGACUGCCCGUACAAGCGGGAGGAAGGUGGGGAUGACGUCAAGUCAGUACGGCCCUUACGCCCUGGGCUGCACACGUGCUACAAUGGUCGGUACAGUUGGAAGCAAUACCGCGAGGUGGAGCAAAUCCAUAAAACCGGCCCCAGUUCGGAUUGGAGUCUGCAAUUCGACUCCAUGAAGUUGGAUUCGCUAGUAAUGCCGUAUCAGAUACGACGGCGUGAAUGCGUUCCCGGGCCUUGUACACACCGCCCGUCACAUCAUGAAAGCCGACUGCACCCGUAAUCGCUGAUCUAACCCGCAAGGGAGGAAGGCGCUGAAGGUGUGGGUGGUGAUUGGGAUGAAGUCGGAACAAGGUA
rnacentral:rRNA from 1 species